rnacentral:rRNA from 8 species
UUGGUGGCGAUGGCGGAGGGGUUCCACGCGUACCCAUCCCGAACACGACCGUUAAGCCCUCCAGCGCCGAUGGUACUUGGACCGAAGGGUCCUGGGAGAGUAGGACGCCGCCA